AAAUUGAAGAGUUUGAUCAUGGCUCAGAUUGAACGCUGGCGGCAGGCCUAACACAUGCAAGUCGAGCGGUAGCACAGAGAGCUUGCUCUCGGGUGACGAGCGGCGGACGGGUGAGUAAUGUCUGGGAAACUGCCUGAUGGAGGGGGAUAACUACUGGAAACGGUAGCUAAUACCGCAUAACGUCGCAAGACCAAAGAGGGGGACCUUCGGGCCUCUUGCCAUCAGAUGUGCCCAGAUGGGAUUAGCUAGUAGGUGGGGUAACGGCUCACCUAGGCGACGAUCCCUAGCUGGUCUGAGAGGAUGACCAGCCACACUGGAACUGAGACACGGUCCAGACUCCUACGGGAGGCAGCAGUGGGGAAUAUUGCACAAUGGGCGCAAGCCUGAUGCAGCCAUGCCGCGUGUAUGAAGAAGGCCUUCGGGUUGUAAAGUACUUUCAGCGGGGAGGAAGGUGUUGUGGUUAAUAACCGCAGCAAUUGACGUUACCCGCAGAAGAAGCACCGGCUAACUCCGUGCCAGCAGCCGCGGUAAUACGGAGGGUGCAAGCGUUAAUCGGAAUUACUGGGCGUAAAGCGCACGCAGGCGGUCUGUCAAGUCGGAUGUGAAAUCCCCGGGCUCAACCUGGGAACUGCAUUCGAAACUGGCAGGCUAGAGUCUUGUAGAGGGGGGUAGAAUUCCAGGUGUAGCGGUGAAAUGCGUAGAGAUCUGGAGGAAUACCGGUGGCGAAGGCGGCCCCCUGGACAAAGACUGACGCUCAGGUGCGAAAGCGUGGGGAGCAAACAGGAUUAGAUACCCUGGUAGUCCACGCCGUAAACGAUGUCGACUUGGAGGUUGUGCCCUUGAGGCGUGGCUUCCGGAGCUAACGCGUUAAGUCGACCGCCUGGGGAGUACGGCCGCAAGGUUAAAACUCAAAUGAAUUGACGGGGGCCCGCACAAGCGGUGGAGCAUGUGGUUUAAUUCGAUGCAACGCGAAGAACCUUACCUACUCUUGACAUCCAGAGAACUUAGCAGAGAUGCCUUGGUGCCUUCGGGAACUCUGAGACAGGUGCUGCAUGGCUGUCGUCAGCUCGUGUUGUGAAAUGUUGGGUUAAGUCCCGCAACGAGCGCAACCCUUAUCCUUUGUUGCCAGCGGUUAGGCCGGGAACUCAAAGGAGACUGCCAGUGAUAAACUGGAGGAAGGUGGGGAUGACGUCAAGUCAUCAUGGCCCUUACGAGUAGGGCUACACACGUGCUACAAUGGCGCAUACAAAGAGAAGCGACCUCGCGAGAGCAAGCGGACCUCAUAAAGUGCGUCGUAGUCCGGAUUGGAGUCUGCAACUCGACUCCAUGAAGUCGGAAUCGCUAGUAAUCGUAGAUCAGAAUGCUACGGUGAAUACGUUCCCGGGCCUUGUACACACCGCCCGUCACACCAUGGGAGUGGGUUGCAAAAGAAGUAGGUAGCUUAACCUUCGGGAGGGCGCUUACCACUUUGUGAUUCAUGACUGGGGUGAAGUCGUAACAAGGUAACCGUAGGGGAACCUGCGGUUGGAUCACCUCCUUA
rnacentral:rRNA from 1 species